CCCUUAGAUGUCCUGGGCCGCACGCGCGCUACACUGAGUGUCUGAGAUACGAGUCUGCCUGGUCCGGCAAGGUCUAGGUAAUCGCUAAAAGACACAUCAUGCUAGGGAUAGAUUAUUGCAAUUGUUAAUCUUGAACGAGGAAUUCCUAGUAAACGCGAGUCAUCAGCUCGCAUUGAUUACGUCCCUGCCCUUUGUACACACCGCCCGUCGCACCUACCGAUUGAAUGGUUCGGUGAAGAUCUCGGACUUCGAUAUUUAUUCUUUAUUGAGUUUAUAUUGUGGGAAGUUAUCUAAACCUCAUCAUUUAGAGGAAGGUGAAGUCGUAACA
rnacentral:rRNA from 1 species